AGGGCAGACGGUGGAUGCCUUGGCUCUCGGAGGCGACGAAGGACGUGAUAAGCUGCGAAAAGCCCGGUUGAGGUGCAAAUAACCCUUGACGCCGGGAUAUCCGAAUGGGGAAACCCGAUUGGUAGAAAACCAAUCACAUCGAAAGAUGGGCGAACGUGGGGAACUGAAACAUCUAAGUACCCAUAGGAAGAGAAAAUAACAAUGAUUGCGUAAGUAGUGGCGAGCGAACGCGCAAGAGCCCAAACCAUAGAUGUUUUGGCAUCAUAUGGGGUUGUAGGAUCGCAAUGUGGCAAGAAGCAAAGGAAGUGGAACCCGCUGGAAAGAGGGCCAUAGAGGGUGAAAGUCCCGUACACGAAUCUUUUGUGAAGCCUAGCGAUAUCCUGAGUAAGUCGGGACACGUGAAAUCCUGACCGAAUCUGCGGGGACCAUCCCGUAAGGCUAAAUACUCCCGAGAGACCGAUAGCGAACCAGUACCGUGAGGGAAAGGUGAAAAGAACCUCGAAUAGAGGAGUGAAAUAGACCCUGAACCCGUCUGCCUACAAGCGGUCGGAGCACCUUUAAGGUGUGACGGCGUGCCUUUUGCAUAAUGAACCUGCGAGUUGUUUUUUUUGGCAAGGUUAAGCAUCAGUAGGUGCGCAGCCGAAGCGAAAGCGAGUCUGAAUAGGGCGACUAAGUCAAAAGGAGCAGACGCGAAACCAAGUGAUCUACCGAUGGCCAGGCUGAAGGUUGGGUAACACCAACUGGAGGGCCGAAUGGAUAUACGUUGAAAAGUGUUCCAAUGAGCUGUGGGUAGGGGUGAAAGGCUAAUCAAACUUGGAGAUAGCUCGUACUCCCCGAAAUGCAUUUAGGUGCAGCCUCGGGUAAGGUACUGAUGAGAGGUAGAGCGACUGAUUGGAUGCGAGGGCUUCACCGCCUAUCAAGUCCGGCCAAACUCCGAAUGCUCAUCAGCAACAUCCCGGGAGUGAGGGCAUGGGUGCUAAGGUCCAUGUCCGAAAGGAGAAGAAUCCAGAUCACCGGCUAAGGUCCCCAAAUAGCAGCUAAGUUGCAUUAACGAAGUCCGACCGCAGCGACAGCCAGGAUGUUGGCUUGGAAGCAGCCAUUCAUUUAAAGAGUGCGUAACAGCUCACUGGUCGAGGGGUCGGGCAUGGAUAAUAAUCGGGCAUAAGCUGUUUACCGAAGCCGUGAGAUCGAAAAGAUCGGUAGGGGAGCAUUCCAUUAUCAGCGUUGAAGAUGAGAGGUGACUCUUGUUGGAGCGGAUGGAAAAGCAAAUGCAGGUAUAAGUAACGAUAAAGGGGGUGAAAAACCUCCUCGCCGAAAGACCAAGGGUUCCUGAUCAACGCUAAUCGGAUCAGGGUUAGUCGGGACCUAAGGCUAAGCCGAAGGGCGAUGCCGAUGGAAGAACCGGUUAAUAUUCCGGUACUGCUUUGUGGAGUGAUGUGGAGACGGAGAAGUGACAGCUCGGCCAUCUGACGGAAUAGGUGGUUGAAGGGUGUAGACGUUGAUUGUUGUAGGCAAAUCCGCAACAAGAGUUGAACCUGACAGUAUGCAGCGUACUUGUACAAUGUAAUAAGAGCGUAAUCAGGCUCCCAAGAAAACCCGCUAAACAUAUCUACAAAGCACCCGUACUCGAAACGGACACACGUGGUCGGGUUGAAAAUACUAAGGCGCUCGAGUGAUUCACGGUUAAGGAACUAGGCAAAAUGGUCCUGUAACUUCGGGAUAAAGGACGCCAAUAGCAAUAUUGGUCGCAGAGAAUAGGCCCAGGCGACUGUUUAACAAAAACACAUGACUAUGCGAAAUCGAAAGAUGAGGUAUAUGGUCUGACACCUGCCCGGUGCUGGAAGGUUAAGAGGAGAUGUCAUCCUGCAAGGGAGAAGCAUUGAAUUGAAGCCCCAGUAAACGGCGGCCGUAACUAUAACGGUCCUAAGGUAGCGAAAUUCCUUGUCGGGUAAGUUCCGACCUGCACGAAUGGUGUAACGAUCUGGGCACUGUCUCAACUGUGAGCUCGGUGAAAUUGUAGUAUCGGUGAAGAUGCCGAUUACCCGCGAUGGGACGAAAAGACCCCGUGAACCUUUACUAUAGCUUUACAUUGAAAUUGGGCAUGCGAUGUGUAGGAUAGGCCGGAGGCUGAGAGACGGUGACGCCAGUCAUCGUGGAGCCGCUGUUGAAAUACGGCCCUUUGUGUGUUUGGUUUCUAACUCCCGGGAAAGGGAGGACGGUGUAUGGUGGGUAGUUUGACUGGGGUGGUCGCCUCCAAAAGCGUAACGGAGGCUUCU
rnacentral:rRNA from 1 species